rnacentral:rRNA from 1 species
GACGUAGGAUGCGAGCGUUAUCCGGAAUUAUUGGGCGUAAAGCGUUUGUAGGCGGUGUAUUAAGUUGGAUGUUAAAUCUUUGAGCUUAACUCAAAAUUGGCAUCCAAAACUGGUACGCUAGAGACAGGUAGGGGUAGAUGGAAUUCUGCAUGUAGGGGUAAUAUCCGUUGAUAUGCGGAAGAACACCAAAGCGAAGGCAAUCUACUGGACCUCGUCUGACGCUAAAAAACGAAAGCGUGGGGAUCAAACGGGA